rnacentral:lncRNA from 1 species
AGGACUUCUAGUAGUUACUGGAAGGGUCCAGACUUCAAGACCUUUCUUGCUUUCUCAUGUUGAAAUCUUGAGGAUGCUGGGAUAGUCUGACGUGUGGUCAGAGCUAUGAGGAAGUAACUAACACAGACAGUAUCUUUGUCUGCAGUUCCUAGCGGGGUAGCACAUCAUUCAGGAGACAGCUUCUAGAUGAUACUGAAUCCCAAGAGAGGGGCCUGGCAGAUGAAUGACAUCAGCUAAGGCAACCUGAAGGGCCUCGUGCCACACAACGAUAACAUCUGUUUAUCAGGAUCAAGCACGCUCUCUGGAGAGCGCAGACAGCAGGAUGGGCCGAGCUCGGAUGACAGUCUGCCCUGUGGAGAUUGACUUUAAUGAAGCAAGAAUAAACAGGAAGAUUAAGUACAAGCAGAAACCAGUGACAAGUUCUGAGCUCACCUCUCUGCUGGAAUUGAAGGGCUCUCUGCCGCUGAGCGAGUCUCUGUUAGAGAGAAAGAGGCAUCAUCUGUUUGGUCGCUAAUGAUCCUGUUAUCCACAUCGGGCCCCAGUGUGCGCAAAGAAAAGUUUUCUCUCGAUUUAGAGAGCAACUUCUGUAUGUUUUAUUUAUAUCUACUCACAAAACAAAUUGUUUUCUAAGAUUGGAAAAGUUAAGAUUGAUAAGGGUUGAGAAAAUAUUUAAUAAACUGAAAAAUGACAUCCUUUUAGGGA